AUGGUCUGGCCCGCAGGAGGAUCAAGGUUGGAGGGGUACGCGCUAUUUCGCAUGGGCGCGCCCUCCACGCCAAAUAGGAAACACGAAAGCCAUGGAUAUAUGUGGCCAUGGGAUACCCGGCCCGACCGGCCUAACCCGACCCGGCCCGAAAAAGCCCGGCCCGACCUGACCCGGCCUGGUCUUACCUAUGGGGCAGGCCUAGGCCUAGGUUUUGAGCCCAAAGGUCGGGCCGGGCUGGGCCUAGGCCUGCCAUAUUUGCCUGACAGCCGGGUCGGGCCGGGCUCGAGCCUAGGCUUUCUGCUUUCGGUCAGGCCCGGCCCCAAGUCCGACCUGGUCCGACAGAUGGCCAGCUAUAUCGUGGACUACCUGAUGCUCAAAUGGAGCCCACGGGCAAGUCUCUCGCAUGUACUAGUGCGCUGGGCUUUUCUUUUGCGUGAAAGGAACUGGGUUGCCCUAGCCAAGAGCAACGCUACCAGGAAGGCUGUGAUUUUUGUGGUUCUUAUGAUCAUGGCUUCCACCCUAUCGUCGUCGUCUUGCUACGCUCGCACAAUUGAAGAUGGAGCGAAUCUUCCAUGCUUCCAUCAGGAAAAGUGCGAAGAUCGUUGCCAAACCGUAUGCGGCCUGAGCUUUAAGCCCUCGGCUCACGCGUAUUGCAAGAAGGAUCAGUGUUGUUGUGCCUAG
rnacentral:rRNA from 1 species